GGACCCGCACAAGUAGUGGAGCAUGUGGUUUAAUUCGAAGAUACGCGCAGAACCUUACCAACACUUGACAUGUUCGUCGCGACUUUGAGAGAUCAAAGUUUUCGGUUCGGCCGGACGAAACACAGGUGCUGCAUGGCUGUCGUCAGCUCGUGUCGUGAGAUGUUGGGUUAAGUCCCGCAACGAGCGCAACCCUCACUUUUAGUUGCCAUCAUUAAGUUGGGCACUCUGAAAGAACUGCCAGUGAUAAGCUGGAGGAAGGUGGGGAUGACGUCAAGUCCUCAUGGCCCUUACGUGUUGGGCUACACACGUGCUACAAUGGUAUCUACAACAGGAAGCAAAGAGGCGACUCUUAGCUAAUCCCUAAAAUGUACCUCAGUUCGGAUUGUACUCUGUAACUCGAGUGCAUGAAGCUGGAAUUGCUAGUAAUCG
rnacentral:rRNA from 1 species